GAAGCUGAAUCGUGAAGAACACCUGCGCUAAGAAUGGCGACGUCUUUCGAAGUGGCUCUUCUGAAACGACCGUAAAUGGAGAUGGUAUCACUGACCAGGUGGAUGGAGCAAGUUGCUGAAAUGUGAAUUGCAAGAUGACCUCUAGGCGAAGAAGAUCUGAUGCCGGAAACUCUCCACCAUGACUGCGUUGGGAGUCAUCAAUAACAACUUUUUGAAAAUUGGAACUGCUCGUAAGAUUUGGCCAAAACGUCUCAAGUUGGGAUUCUCUCACGGAAGCGUUUGGAAAACAACAUUAAAAUCAAUUGCGGUCUUAUCAAAUAAGGAAACGUGAACCUGUAGGUAGGUACGCGAUAGUUAAAGUAAUUGCCUGAGUAAUGAUUUGUAAUUAAAGUUUGCGAGGAUUUUGCGGUCUCUGUAUACUUGAUAAAUGUGAAUCGGUCACCGAAUAAAUAAUAGGGAAUACCC